GACGAAUGCUGGCGGCGUGCUUAACACAUGCAAGUCGAACGAAGUGGCGAACGGGUGAGUAACGCGUAAUCAACCUGCCCUUCAGAGGGGGACAACAGUUGGAAACGACUGCUAAUACCGCAUACUUAAGGAGGUGCCUCCGUCUGAUUCGCUAGUUGGAGGGGUAACGCUCCACCAAGGCGAUGAUCAGUAACCGGUCUGAGAGAAUGAACCGCCAAAUUGGGCCUGAGACGGGACCCAGACUACUACCGGAGGCAGCAGUGGGGAAUCUUCCGCAAUGGACGAAAGUCUGACGGAGCAACGCCGCGUGAGUGAUGACGCCCUUCGGGUUGUAAAGCUCUGUUAAUCGGGACGCGGUACCGGAAUAGAAAGCCACAGCUAACUACGUGCCAGCAGCCGCGGUAAUUA
rnacentral:rRNA from 1 species